AAUGUAAUUUUUUUCAGACAGAAUGAAAUGAUUUACUAAAUGUACGUUCUGCUUUUUUGCAGAAGCCAAUGGUUACACUGUACAUCCAGAAAGCGAAGGACAGAUACAUUGCAAGAGAACUGGCCCUCCUACGUGCCUCGAAACCCACACCACCAAUGGUCUCACAUCUUGACGAGGUGGAUGAUGCAGCAAUCGAAGAGGGUGUCAGGAGGGUCAUAGAGGCUGCUUCCCAUGCUGCAGCUUCUACCACUGUGCCUCCUCUUUCGGGCCCCAUGUCUAGUUCUCCCCUUGCCAGCCAGGGUUCUUGUGACCCAAAAACAAAAACUAUGCAGGAUCCUUCUCCCUCAACCAGGCAGGCUUCCUGUGACCCAGAAAUACCAGCGAUGCAGGAUCCUUCUCCCUCAACCAGCCAGGCUGCUUGUGACCCAGGGACACCAGCUAUGCAGGAUCCUUCUCCUUCAACCAGCCAUGCUUCUUGUGACCCAGAAAUACCAGCUAUGCAGGAUCCUUCUCCUUCAACCAGCUAUGCUUCUUGUGACCCAGAGAUACCAGCGAUGCAGGAUCCUUCUCCCUCAACCAGCCAGGCUUCCUGUGACCCAGAGAUACCAGCGAUGCAGGAUCCUUCUCCCUCAACCAGCCAGGCUUCCUGUGACCCAGAAAUACCAGCGAUGCGGGAUCCUUCUCCCUCAACCAGCCAGGCUUCCUGUGACCCAGAAAUACCUGUGAUGCAGGAUCCUUCUCCCUCAACCAGCCAGGCUGCUUGUGACCCAGGGACACCAGCUAUGCAGGAUCCUUCUCCUUUAACCAGCCAUGCUUCUUGUGACCCAGAAAUACCAGCGAUGCAGGAUCCUUCUCCCUCAACCAGCCAGGUUCCCUUCUACACAGGAACAGUUGACCAACAGGCCAAGCGAACAAGAAGGCGUUCUGUCCUGAUGGCCCCUGAUCCUGGGUGCAGGAACUGCCAGCUUCUCUUUGCUGGACUAACCGUGGUGAAGAACCUGCUCCAGAUUGAGAUUGAGAGGAACCAUGAGCUCAAGCAGCUACAUUCUUCAACAAUGCGUGCAACUGCAGCAAAACAUCGCAGACGUGCACCAUUUCCCCCCAGCAAAGCCCCUCGCUAUGGUGAAG
rnacentral:lncRNA from 1 species